AAUAGAUACCCGGGUAGUCCACGCCCUAAACGAUGGAUGCUAGGUUUGCGGGGUAUCGACCCCCUGUGAGCCGUAGGUAACCCGUUAAGCAUCCCGCCUGGGGACUACGACCGCAAGGUUAAAACUCAAAGGAAUUGACGGGGGCCCGCACAAGCAGCGGAGCGUGUGGUUUAAUUCGAUGCUAAGCGAAGAACCUUACCAGGGCUUGACAUGUAAGUGGUACUGAGUCGAAAGAUAAGGGACCCGCAAGGGAGCUUACACAGGUGCUGCAUGGUUGUCGUCAGCUCGUGCCGUGAGGUGUUGGGUUAAGUCCCGCAACGAGCGCAACCCUUGUCGCUAGUUAAAUUCUCUAGCGAGACUGCCCCUAAAAGGGAGGAAGGAGGGGAUGAUGUCAAAUCAUCAUGGCUCUUACGUCCUGGGCUACACACACGCUACAAUGGCCAGUACAGACGGUAGCUAAAUCGCGAGAUGGAGCCAAUCCGACAAAGCUGGUCUCAGUUGGGAUUGUAGGCUGAAACCCGCCUGCAUGAACGUGGAGUUGCUAACG
rnacentral:rRNA from 1 species